GUAGGGAAUAUUGCACAAUGGAGGAAACUCUGAUGCAGCGACGCCGCGUGAGUGAUGAAGGCCUUCGGGUCGUAAAACUCUGUGAUAAGGGAAGAUGAUGACGGUACCUUAUCAGAAAAGACCGGCUAACUUCGUGCCAGCAGCCGCGGUAAUACGAGGGGUCUAAGCGUUGUUCGGAAUCACUGGGCGUAAAGCGGGUGUAGGUGGCUAUGCAAGUUGGAUGUGAAAGCCCCGGGCUCAACCCGGGAAGUGCAUCCAAAACUACGUAGCUUGAGUGCGGGAGAGAAAGGCAGAAUUCCUGGUGUAGUUGUGAAAUACGUAGAUAUCAGGAGGAACUCCGGUGGCGAAGGCGGCUACCUGGUCGAGUACUGACACUGAGACACGAAAGCAUGGGGAUCAAACAGGAUUAGAAACCCGUGUAGUCC
rnacentral:rRNA from 1 species